CUAACCAAAUGCAAAGGGCGUCUUUCCUUCAACUCCAAAUUGAAUUGAGAAAUUGAAGAUCAAAUAAGAUUUUGAGAGGAAAGGAUUUUGGGCAUAUUCAAAAUUUUCUUCUACAAAAUCAAACUCAAUUACUUGCUAGAUGAUGCUGGCAACAGGCUUUCUUGUUGCUCCUUGUACCAUCACAUCACAAACGAAAGAUGCUUGGAAACAAAGAUCACCAAUAAAGAAAUAUUGUUCUCAGCUUGUUUCCUAUUGUUCUUCUGAAUCUUGUCACUCACCAAAUGCUUCUCUUUCUUCUCAUGUCAACAACCAUGGCAGAGCGCCCUCAUGUCAUCGAUAUGUUAUGGCCUGUGUUUCUUCUUCAUCCAGUUCUACUCCAUCCACGACUACCAGGUUAUAUGUUAGUGGUCUCUCAUUUCGCACUACUCAAGAAAGUUUGCGAAAUGCUUUCCAAAAGUUUGGCCAACUAGUGGAAGUUAACCUAGUAAUGGAUAAAAUCGCCAAUAGACCGAGGGGCUUUGCUUUCCUUCGUUAUGAAACUGAAGAGGAGUCUAUGAAUGCCAUAGAAGGAAUGCAUGGAAAGUUUCUUGAUGGCAGGGUAAUAUUUGUAGAAGUAGCAAAACCCAGGUCUGAAACUGGUAAGAAUCAGCAGAAUACGAGAGAAUCACGCUGACAUACAGGCAUACAGCUACUGAGAAUGGAAUCAGAGCUAGCAAUGUAAAAUCUGUUUUCAUAGUGUGUACAUGGAAAUCAAGAUAUCUGUAGCCUUGUUGCUGACAAAUGGAGAGAUUCAUAAUGCGUCAAGUCAAAUAAGGUUUUUAAGCAUCAAUCAUUGUGCGUCUACUUGAAGAGGUUUGUUGAUUGCUAUUCUACUAUGGUUGAUGCCACGGAUGAAUCCAUUACUAUUGCCAAUAAUGAAUGCCCAAAAAUAUAAGGUUGUAUUCAUCGUUGCACUCAAUCUACAGACUGAAAACUUUCUGCAUCUGUUUAAUUAGAAGUUGUGCACAUGCCUAGAUCUGCAUUGAUGAUAAAGGACCAUGUCUUAAUUGUUCAUACCUUGUAAAUCCAAUCGUGGCUGGUCAUAACCCACCCCCACCCCCCCAAUUCCAUUUAUCUUGUGCUAAAGAAAGUCACGAAUGACUGAUAUAUGUGAUUCAAUUCUUGGAUACUUAAA